GACGUAGGGCGCGAGCGUUGUCCGGAUUUAUUGGGCGUAAAGAGCUCGUAGGCGGCUUGUCGCGUCGUCCGUGAAAACUCGGGGCUUAACCCCGAGCCUGCAGUGGAUACGGGCAGACUAGAGGUAGGUAGGGGAGAAUGGAAUUCCCGGUGUAGCGGUGAAAUGCGCAGAUAUCGGGAGGAACACCGGUGGCGAAGGCGGUUCUCUGGGCCUUACCUGACGCUGAGGAGCGAA
rnacentral:rRNA from 1 species